rnacentral:rRNA from 1 species
UACGUAGGGUGCGAGCGUUAAUCGGAAUUACUGGGCGUAAAGCGUGCGCAGGCGGCUUCGCAAGUCAGACGUGAAAUCCCCGGGCUUAACCUGGGAAUGGCGUUUGAAACUACGGAGCUGGAGUGUGGCAGAGGGAGGUAGAAUUCCACGUGCAGCGGUGAAAUGCGUAGAUAUGUGGAGGAAUACCGAUGGCGAAGGCAGCCUCCUGGGCCAACACUGACGCUCAUGCGCGAAAGCGUGGGGAGCAAACAGG